GAUGAACGCUGGCGGCGUGCUUAACACAUGCAAGUCGAACGGGAAACCUUUUAUUGAAGCUUCGGCAGAUUUAGCUGGUUUUUAGUGGCGGACGGGUGAGUAACGCGUGGGUAACCUGCCUUAUACAGGGGGAUAACAGUCAGAAAUGGCUGCUAAUACCGCAUAAGCGCACAGAGCUGCAUGGCUCAGUGUGAAAAACUCCGGUGGUAUAAGAUGGACCCGCGUUGGAUUAGCUAGUUGGUGGGGUAACGGCCCACCAAGGCGACGAUCCAUAGCCGGCCUGAGAGGGUGAACGGCCACAUUGGGACUGAGACACGGCCCAGACUCCUACGGGAGGCAGCAGUGGGGAAUAUUGCACAAUGGGGGAAACCCUGAUGCAGCGACGCCGCGUGAAGGAAGAAGUAUCUCGGUAUGUAAACUUCUAUCAGCAGGGAAGAUAAUGACG
rnacentral:rRNA from 1 species